rnacentral:rRNA from 1 species
GACGAACGCUGGCGGCGUGCCUAAUACAUGCAAGUCGAGCGAACAGACGAGGUGCUUGUUCCUCGGAGGUGAGCGGCGGACGGGUGAGUAACACGUGGAGAAUCUACCUAUAAGACGGGGACAACAUCGGGAAACCAGUGCUAAUACCGGAUAAUAUCUUGAACCGCAAGGUUUAAGAGUGAAAGAAGGUUUUGCAUUCCCUUAUAGAUGGACCCCCGCCGCUUUAGCUAGUUGGUAGGGUAAGGGCCUACCAAGGCAACGUUGUGAAGCCGACCUGAGAGGGUGUUCGGCCACACGGGACCUAAGACACGCCCCACACUCCUACGGGAGGCAGCAGUAGGGAAUCUUCCACAAUGGGCGAAAGCCUAACGGGGCACCGCCGCGUGGGUAAUGAAGGUCUUCGGAUCGUAAACCUCUGUUAUUAGGAAAGAAGAAGUGUGUAGGUGACUAUGCACGUAUUGACGGUACCUAAUCAGAAAGCGACGGCUAACUACGUG